UACAGAGGUCUCAAGCGUUGUUCGGAUUCAUUGGGCGUAAAGGGUAUGUAGGUGGCGCCGUAAGUCGGGUGUGAAAUUUCGGAGCUUAACUCCGAAACUGCAUUCGAUACUGCGGUGCUUGAGGACUGGAGAGGAGACUGGAAUUCAUGGUGUAGCAGUGAAAUGCGCAGAUAUCAGGAGGAACACCGGUGGCGAAGGCGGGUCUCUGGGCCGUAACUGACGCUGAGGAGCGAAAGCAUGGGGAGCGAACAGG
rnacentral:rRNA from 1 species